rnacentral:rRNA from 1 species
GCUGGAUUCGCUAGUAAUCGCGCAUCAGCCAUGGCGCGGUGAAUACGUUCCCGGGCCUUGUACACACCGCCCGUCAAGCCAUGGAAGCCGGGGGGUGCCUGAAGUGUGCAACCGCAAGGAGCGCCCUAAGGUAAAACCGGUGACUGGGGCUAAGUCGUAACAAGGUACC